rnacentral:tRNA from 1 species
GCCGAGGUGGCGAAAUUGGUAGACGCGCGACGCUUAAAACGUUGUAGGCCCUAAUCGGCCUAUGUGGGUUCGACUCCCACCCCCGGCA